GGCGGAAAUCGGUGAGACACAGAGAGAAGAGAGUGAGGGAUGGGGGCGGUUUUGUUGAGUUCGCUGCAAUCUGUUCGGAACCCUUUCCCACCUCACAUCAUUUCUUCUUCUUCUUCUUCUUCUUCUUCUUCAAAUCAUGGUAAUAAUAACAGGAGACUCGUCACAAGGCGCAAAACAAUAUUCUUCACUGCUUCUGUGUUGGCUUCUUAUCUCCAAUUUUAUCAAAACUCCGUGCAUUUGUCUUCUCAUUACGCCAUUGCCCAGCAGCAAGAUGAGCUCGACCCAGAUGAAGAUCGCCUCGUCCGUCUAUUUCAGGAUGCCUCACCAUCAGUUGUUUUCAUCAAGGACCUUGAAUUAUUGAAAAGCCUGAGGAACUCAGAUGAAACUAUGCUUGUCGAAGAUGAAAAUGUGAAAGUGGAAGGGACCGGUUCUGGUUUCAUUUGGGAUAAAUUUGGACACAUUGUUACCAAUUAUCAUGUUGUUGCGAAGUUGGCCACAGAUAGUAGUGGACUACAACGCUGUAAGGUGUUUCUAGUUGAUGCAAAAGGCAAUAGCUUUUCACGUGAUGCUAAGAUUGUUGGUUUUGAUCCAGCAUAUGAUCUUGCUGUUCUGAAGGUUGAUGUUGGAGGGAAUGAACUAAAACCAGUUGUAGUUGGUUCUUCUCGUGAUUUACACGUGGGUCAGAGCUGCUUUGCCAUUGGAAAUCCAUAUGGAUUUGAGAACACUCUAACAACAGGGGUAGUUAGUGGAUUGGGAAGAGAGAUACCCUCACCAAAUGGACAAGCCAUCCGCGGAGCUAUACAAACUGAUGCUGACAUUAAUUCAGGAAAUUCAGGGGGGCCAUUAAUUGACUCAUAUGGUCACGUUAUUGGAGUAAAUACUGCAACUUUCACUCGGAAAGGGACAGGAAUGUCUUCUGGCGUCAACUUUGCAAUUCCUAUCGACACGGUUGUUCGUACCGUACCUUACCUGAUAGUCUAUGGGACACCUUACAGGGACAGCUGGUUCCCGUUUUGAUUCACAACGACAAGCUAGCCCAUCUGCACUCGAAUAUCCUACAUCGACCAGCUCUGGAAUGACAGACAGCUCCCCUCUGCUGCCUUCCGUUCGUUCCUUAAUUACCAGCGAGCUCAAGCCUCAAGCCAGGUUCUGGGGCCGAUUUUGUUGGCAAAAAGGCAUACAAUGAGUGAAAGGGAUAUGGAUGAAGAAAUUAAUUUGGAGAAGAGCAAGAAACAGCAAAGCAAGAGUUGACAGAGUGCCUGAAGCUGCUGAAAGGAGAGCUUGGGGAGAAGCCAUACUUUGGAGCGGAAGCCAUGGGGCUUGUGGAUGUGACUUCUGGUGCCCCAUUCCAACAGGUUCUACAUUCAGGCAGUCUGCCCCAAGCUGGUGGCUUGGCUUGGGCCAAAAGAUACAUGCAACUGGACGCUGUGGCUAGGAUCCUGCCCCAUCACCUCAACGUCUAUGAUUUUGCUCUCAUGGUCAGGAAGAAGAUGGGGAUAGUGGAUGCAUAAGUAGAGACAGCUUUGGGAGUCCAAUUUUUUUUUUCUUUGCUCAUUUUACCUUUUGGAUCAAACAAAUAAUCAUCAUUCUAUUCUUUUUGGUUCUCUAUUUCCUCGUAAACUAACAAAAACGAAGAAAAAAAAGAAAGAGAGAUAGAGCUCUGCAAGUAUGGGCUACAGGGUAGGUUUGGCUUAAUUGGGUUGAAGCGAUAUACUGAAGUAGAAAGUGAAAAAGAAGUUCUCUCAUCAGAAGGUUUUCACAUUAUUGAAUCCUACAUAUGCAAAGGAAUGAGAGGGGAAGCAUUGUUAAAGCUGGUGCCUAAGUUUCUUUGAUACUUGUAGCUGCUUAAUUAAUUUGAGAACUUUGAGAACAAUGUGUAUGUGUGUGUGUGUCCCACUGUCCCUUUUUCAUGUGUUUGUUAAGGACAAUAGUAGGUUUGCUUAUCUAAAAGAUAAAAGACUUGCUUAAUGAGCAGGAAAAUAAUAAUCAACAGCAAUGAUUAAACUUAAACCCUUUCUCUCUUCUAUGUUGAGAAAUUCGAUAUUCUCUGGUGAUGUCCUCCCUUCCCAAGUGAUUCCUGUUGCAAACCCUAAGUUUGUAUCAUUGCUUCCUCCUUGAAUCUCUCUAAUCUUGUUCACCCUUCUCUCCUUCCCUUUAUUUUUUUAAUUUCCCCCCCCCCGGUUAUAAGAAGAAAUACGACAAACAAAAUCAGUACCAAAAAGAAAGAAAACACAG